GACGAACGCUGGCGGCGUGCUUAACACAUGCAAGUCGAACGGAAAGGCCCUGCUUUUGUGGGGUGCUCGAGUGGCGAACGGGUGAGUAACACGUGAGUAACCUGCCCUUGACUUUGGGAUAACUUCAGGAAACUGGGGCUAAUACCGGAUAGGAGCUCCUGCUGCAUGGUGGGGGUUGGAAAGUUUCGGCGGUUGGGGAUGGACUCGCGGCUUAUCAGCUUGUUGGUGGGGUAGUGGCUUACCAAGGCUUUGACGGGUAGCCGGCCUGAGAGGGUGACCGGCCACAUUGGGACUGAGAUACGGCCCAGACUCCUACGGGAGGCAGCAGUGGGGAAUAUUGCACAAUGGGCGGAAGCCUGAUGCAGCAACGCCGCGUGCGGGAUGACGGCCUUCGGGUUGUAAACCGCUUUCGCCUGUGACGAAGCGUGAGUGACGGUAAUGGGUAAAGAAGCACCGGCUAACUACGUGCCAGCAGCCGCGGUGAUACGUANGGUGCGAGCGUUGUCCGGAUUUAUUGGGCGUAAAGGGCUCGUAGGUGGUUGAUCGCGUCGGAAGUGUAAUCUUGGGGCUUAACCCCUGAGCGUGCUUUCGAUACGGGUUGACUUGAGGAAGGUAGGGGAGAAUGGAAUUCCUGGUGGAGCGGUGGAAUGCGCAGAUAUCAGGAGGAACACCAGUGGCGAAGGCGGUUCUCUGGGCCUUUCCUGACGCUGAGGAGCGAAAGCGUGGGGAGCGAACAGGCUUAGAUACCCUGGUAGUCCACGCUGUAAACGGUGGGUACUAGGUGUGGGGUCCAUUCCACGGGUUCCGUGCCGUAGCUAACGCUUUGAGUACCCCGCCUGGGGAGUACGGCCGCAAGGCUAAAACUCAAAGGAAUUGACGGGGCCCCGCACAAGCGGCGGAGCAUGCGGAUUAAUUCGAUGCAACGCGUAGAACCUUACCUGGGUUUGACAUGGAUCGGGAGCGCUCAGAGAUGGGUGUGCCUCUUUUGGGGUCGGUUCACAGGUGGUGCAUGGCUGUCGUCAGCUCGUGUCGUGAGAUGUUGGGUUAAGUCCCGCAACGAGCGCAACCCUUGUUCACUGUUGCCAGCACGUUAUGGUGGGGACUCAGUGGAGACCGCCGGGGUCAACUCGGAGGAAGGUGGGGAUGACGUCAAGUCAUCAUGCCCCUUAUGUCCAGGGCUUCACGCAUGCUACAAUGGCUGGUACAGAGAGUGGCGAGCCUGUGAGGGUGAGCGAAUCUCGGAAAGCCGGUCUCAGUUCGGAUUGGGGUCUGCAACUCGACCUCAUGAAGUCGGAGUCGCUAGUAAUCGCAGAUCAGCAACGCUGCGGUGAAUACGUUCCCGGGGCU
rnacentral:rRNA from 1 species